AUUGAACGCUGGCGGCAGGCCUAACACAUGCAAGUCGAGCGAGCGGCGGACGGGUGAGUAAUGUAUGGGGACUGCCCGUUAGAGGGGGAUAACUACUGGAAACAGUAUCUAAUACCGCAUACUAUCGGAUAACCCAUAUGGGAUUAGCUAGUAGGUGGGGUAAUGGCUCACCCAGGCGACGAUCCCUAGCUGGUCUGAGAGGAUGAUCAGCCACACUGGAACGGAGACACGGCCCAGACUCCUACGGAGGCAGCAGUGGGGAAUAUUGCACAAUGGGCGCAAGCCUGAUGCAGCCAUGCCGCGUGUAUGAAGAAGGCCGUAGGGUUGUAAAGUACUUUCAGUGGGGAGGCGUUACCGGCAGAAGAAGCACCGGCUAACUCCGUGCCAGCAGCCGCGGUAAUAC
rnacentral:rRNA from 1 species